rnacentral:rRNA from 1 species
AGUGAACGCUGGCGGUAGGCCUAACACAUGCAAGUCGAACGGCAGCACAGUAAGAGCUUGCUCUUACGGGUGGCGAGUGGCGGACGGGUGAGGAAUACAUCGGAAUCUACUUUUUCGUGGGGGAUAACGUAGGGAAACUUACGCUAAUACCGCAUACGACCUACGGGUGAAAGCAGGGGAUCUUCGGACCUUGCGCGAUUGAAUGAGCCGAUGUCGGAUUAGCUAGUUGGCGGGGUAAAGGCCCACCAAGGCGACGAUCCGUAGCUGGUCUGAGAGGAUGAUCAGCCACACUGGAACUGAGACACGGUCCAGACUCCUACGGGAGGCAGCAGUGGGGAAUAUUGGACAAUGGGCGCAAGCCUGAUCCAGCCAUACCGCGUGGGUGAAGAAGGCCGUCGGGUUGUAAAGCCCCUUUGUUGGGAAAGAAAAGCAGCAGGUUAAUACCCCGCUGUUCUGACGGUACCCAAAGAAUAAGCACCGGCGAACUUCG